UGAUGGCUUCACACACCUCUACACUCUAAUUUUAAGACCAGAUCUUUCUUAUGAUGUGAAAAUUGAUGGUCAGUCAAUUGAAUCCGGCAGCAUAGAGUACGACUGGAACUUAACAUCACUCAAGAAGGAAACGUCCCCGGCAGAAUCGAAGGAUUGGGAACAGACUAAAGACAACAAAGCCCAGGUGUGAAUUUUUCCUGGGCAACUCUAAAAAGUGCACAAAUGUAGUUUGUAAGUACCCAGUUACUGGACAAUUGCUGCAUGGCUGGUAGCCACGAUGGCAAUAUUAUAGAACCAAAUGCCCUCCCCAGAGCACACACUGCAGACCAGCCACAUCUCUACACAUCUGAAGGACUGGGAGAAGCAUUUUCUGGACGCCAGCACCAGCAAGCAGAGCGACUGGAACGGUGAGCUGGAUGGGGACUGGCCAGCGCCGAUGCUCCAGAAGCCCCCGUACCAGGAUGGCCUGAAACCCGAAGGUAUUCAUAAAGACGUCUGGCUCCACCGUAAGAUGAAGAAUACUGACUAUUUGACGCAGUAUGACCUCUCAGAAUUUGAGAACAUUGGUGCCAUUGGCCUGGAGCUUUG
rnacentral:sRNA from 1 species